CCGGAUGGAACGCCGAAUCCUGCCGCCGUCCGGGAAUCCGAAACCCACCCACGUACGGCAGGAGCGGGGGACCCAGGUAAGCCGCCGAUCCGGUCUCCGGAACGGCUAGGGGUGAAGUCGCACAUCCAUGCGGCCAGACAUCUCCCGUCUGAACCCGACAGCUCACCUCGUAGGCGCCGGAGAGGAAAUUC
rnacentral:sRNA from 4 species